rnacentral:rRNA from 1 species
UUGACGGGACCGCACAAGCGUGGAUGAUGUGGUUUAAUUCGAUGCAACGCGAAAACCUUACCACCUUUGACAUGUACGGAAUCCUUAGAGAUAGAGGGGUGCUCGAAAGAGAGCCGUAACACAGGUGCUGCAUGGCUGUCGUCAGCUCGUGUCGUGAGAUGUUGGGUUAAGUCCCGCAACGAGCGCAACCCUUGUCAUUAGUUGCUACAUUCAGUUGGGCACUCUAAUGAGACUGCCGGUGACAAGCCGGAGGAAGGUGGGGAUGACGUCAAGUCCUCAUGGCCCUUAUAGGUGGGGCUACACACGUCAUACAAUGGCUGGUACAAAGGGUUGCCAACCCGCGAGGGGGAGCCAAUCCCAUAGAGCCAGUCGUAGUCCGGAUCGUAGUCUGCAACUCGACUACGUGAAGUCGGAAUCGCUAGUAAUCGUGGAUCAGAAUGUCACGGUGAAUACGUUCCCGGGUCUU